GACGAACGCUGGCGGCGUGCCUAAUACAUGCAAGUCGAGCGCAGGAAAUCAUCCGAACCUUUCGGGGGGACGUUGAUGGAAUGAGCGGCGGACGGGUGAGUAACACGUAAAGAACCUGCCCUCAGGUCUGGGAUAACCACGAGAAAUCGGGGCUAAUACCGGAUGGGUCAUCGGACCGCAUGGUCCGAGGAGGAAAGGCGCUUCGGCGUCGCCGGGGGCUGCCUUUGCGGUGCAUUAGCUAGUUGGUGGGGUAAUGGCCCACCAAGGCGACGAUGCAUAGCCGACCUGAGAGGGUGAUCGGCCACACUGGGACUGAGACACGGCCCAGACUCCUACGGGAGGCAGCAGUAGGGAAUCUUCCACAAUGGACGAAAGUCUGAUGGAGCAACGCCGCGUGAACGAUGAAGGCCUUCGGGUCGUAAAGUUCUGUUGUAAGGGAAGAACAAGUGCCGCAGGCAAUGGCGGCACCUUGACGGUACCUUGCGAGAAAGCCACGGCUAACUACGUGCCAGCCGCCGCGGUAA
rnacentral:rRNA from 1 species